UCUUCUUCCAUGACCUAAUCGCCUGCAUCGAUCAUGUUUCUGCUGAAGGAGUACAGUGUGCUGCAGUCGUUUUGCUCUCCAAUUUUUGUACUUUUGAUGAUCUCACCUUCUGCGUUGGAGAAGUUUUGGUGGAAGGUGAAGACUGUGGGCAUUGGUUUGAUUUCGACAGAGAUCGUCACAUUUAGCAGGCUCUCUCACUGUAUAUUCUCUGAUGUGUGGGAGCAGUUGGUGUCAAUUGUAGUUGUUGAAGUUUCAAUGAAGAAGAAUGUUAGUUUCUUUGAUUAGGGUUGUACAGUGUUGUGAUUGAUGCAAGAUUUCGUGUGAUUUUAAUUUUUGUUGUUGAAUUGUUGAAUCCAUGCUGUUUUACUUGAUCAAAAUGAGAAGGGUGACAUUUUUUGUUGAAGUAGAACUUUGAUUUGAUUUGUUACUCUCUUUUGUCAGUAGAAGAGAAGAAUUAGAAGCAAUGUUUGUCAGGUCACCGUUUUGAUGUCAGCUUAGUACAAGAGGUUUGGUUUUGGCAGUGUUCCAGCAAUUUACUUGCUGGCAUCCUUCAGUUUAAUUAAUUUGAAAUUGAAAUUUGUAAUGACCUACCUGUCUCACUUUGUAUCUGUCUAUAAAUACCGGUGUAUUGUGGUCUCUUUGUUGCUCUUGCUCAUAUCCUGGUUUGAUUUUGAUAUUGCUAUUGCUUCAUUGCUACCUAUCUUCAUAUCUGAUAUCUGAUAUUUGUCUUGUGCCUUAAUCUCAAUCAUGGCCUUUACUGCUGGUCCGUUCAACCCUCUGAGUUGCUUAUUGCCUGGAAAAGACACAUGGAAAAUUAAGGUUCGUGUUCUUCGUCAGUUGGUUUGACACAGACACUUACGAUUAUCCUCCACAUCUUGAUGCUCACUUGAUUUUUUACUAGGAAGUCAGCUGUGCACGUGUUUCACUGCUCUGUUGUAUGAGAAGUUUAAAUCAAUUGCAGAAUUACUUUUCGUUCCAGUCCAAGCUUUUUGAUUUAGGGUGCCAUCUGCUCUCCUUUAAUGACAAGGUGACAAUGAGAAGGAGUAGAAUAGAUUGUUGAAGGAGAUUGGGGAAGUGCUCACUGUUUGUUGUCAGGAGUAGAGCAAAAUCAGAAGCUAAAGACGUCAUUUUCUUCGUCAGCUGAAGCUUUCCCUAAUGUCAGAAUAUGAGUGAAGAAGAAAUAGGCGAAGAGAGAUUGUCCACAAAAAUGGAUGUCUUUCCAAUCGUGAAAGGAGCAGAUGGAGGAUUGGAAGAAACAGCAAAGUAAAAAACUUUCUAAUUUGCAGGUUUUGGAGCAUCAUGUAGGGUUGAUUUUGAGAGAGAAGCUUGGAAAUUUGGUGUACCAGACACGAAUCCUUAGGGACUGCAAUGGGAAGGUGUGGUUUCUUCCCUUUUUUUAUUUUUUUUCCUCAUGCUAUGCACUUAAAUUUCAAUGUUUCUCUACUAUUGCAUAUCUUAUUUGGGAAAGUAUAAACAAAAUUCUUUUUAGAAUAAGAGGAACUUUGUUGAAUAUACUCUUUCAAGAGUUGCUUCUUUUUGCUCUCUUAGUGAGUUUCAUUCACAGCCUCUCCUUUCAGCAGCUGUGCAGCAGUCCUAGACUCCACCUCAUUAUGCAGAGUUGCAGUAGUUCUGCUUUGGUAAGGUAUAGUUCCUUUGAGGUGUUAUUGUUUGAAGGUAAAUUAGAAAAUAAGCUGAGUUCUUUUAUCCUUAAUUAUUAAUUCUUAUUAUCAAUUUGUCGGAAUUUGUAACUUGCUAUGGAACAAGAGAUGCAAAUAUAAAUGUAGAAUUCAUUAGUUUGGUAACAAAUGUUGAGUAAAGCAUAUAAAUUGGUCCUGAAAGUGAGCACUUAC